GAUGAACGCUGGCGGCGUGCCUAAUACAUGCAAGUCGAGCGAACGGACGAGAAGCUUGCUUCUCUGAUGUUAGCGGCGGACGGGUGAGUAACACGUGGAUAACCUACCUAUAAGACUGGUAUAACUUCGGGAAACCGUAGCUAAUACCGGAUAAUAUUUUGAACCGCAUGGUUCAAAAGUGAAAGACGGUCUUGCUGUCACUUAUAGAUGGAUCCGCGCUGCAUUAGCUAGUUGGUAAGGUAACGGCUUACCAAGGCAACGAGGCAUAGCCGACCUGAGAGGGUGAUAGGCCACCCUGGAGCUGAGACACGGUCAAGACUCCUACGGGAGGCAGCAGUAGGGAAUCUUCCGCAAUGGGCGAAAGCAUGACGGAGCAACGCCGAGUGAGUGAUGAAGGUCUUCGGAUCGUAAAAAUCUGUUAUUAGGGAAGAACAUAUGUGUAAGUAACUGUGCACAUCUUGACGGUACCUAAUCAGAAAGCCACGGCUAACUACGUG
rnacentral:rRNA from 1 species